rnacentral:rRNA from 1 species
GACGAACGCUGGCGGCGUGCUUAACACAUGCAAGUCGAACGGAAAGGCCCUGCUUUUGUGGGGUGCUCGAGUGGCGAACGGGUGAGUAACACGUGAGUAACCUGCCCUUGACUUUGGGAUAACUUCAGGAAACUGGGGCUAAUACCGGAUAGGAGCUCCUGCUGCAUGGUGGGGGUUGGAAAGUUUCGGCGGUUGGGGAUGGACUCGCGGCUUAUCAGCUUGUUGGUGGGGUAGUGGCUUACCAAGGCUUUGACGGGUAGCCGGCCUGAGAGGGUGACCGGCCACAUUGGGACUGAGAUACGGCCCAGACUCCUACGGGAGGCAGCAGUGGGGAAUAUUGCACAAUGGGCGGAAGCCUGAUGCAGCAACGCCGCGUGCGGGAUGACGGCCUUCGGGUUGUAAACCGCUUUCGCCUGUGACGAAGCGUGAGUGACGGUAAUGGGUAAAGAAGCACCGGCUAACUACGUGCCAGCAGCCGCGGUGAUACGUAGGGUGCGAGCGUUGUCCGGAUUUAUUGGGCGUAAAGGGCUCGUAGGUGGUUGAUCGCGUCGGAAGUGUAAUCUUGGGGCUUAACCCUGAGCGUGCUUUCGAUACGGGUUGACUUGAGGAAGGUAGGGGAGAAUGGAAUUCCUGGUGGAGCGGUGGAAUGCGCAGAUAUCAGGAGGAACACCAGUGGCGAAGGCGGUUCUCUGGGCCUUUCCUGACGCUGAGGAGCGAAAGCGUGGGAGCGAACAGGCUUAGAUACCCUGGUAGUCCACGCUGUAAACGGUGGGUACUAGGUGUGGGGUCCAUUCCACGGGUUCCGUGCCGUAGCUAACGCUUUAAGUACCCCGCCUGGGGAGUACGGCCGCAAGGCUAAAACUCAAAGGAAUUGACGGGGCCCCGCACAAGCGGCGGAGCAUGCGGAUUAAUUCGAUGCAACGCGUAGAACCUUACCUGGGUUUGACAUGGACCGGGAGUGCUCAGAGAUGGGUGUGCCUCUUUUGGGGUCGGUUCACAGGUGGUGCAUGGCUGUCGUCAGCUCGUGUCGUGAGAUGUUGGGUUAAGUCCCGCAACGAGCGCAACCCUUGUUCACUGUUGCCAGCACGUUAUGGUGGGGACUCAGUGGAGACCGCCGGGGUCAACUCGGAGGAAGGUGGGGAUGACGUCAAGUCAUCAUGCCCCUUAUGUCCAGGGCUUCACGCAUGCUACAAUGGCUGGUACAGAGAGUGGCGAGCCUGUGAGGGUGAGCGAAUCUCGGAAAGCCGGUCUCAGUUCGGAUUGGGGUCUGCAACUCGACCUCAUGAAGUCGGAGUCGCUAGUAAUCGCAGAUCAGCAACGCUGCGGUGAAUACGUUCCCGGG